rnacentral:lncRNA from 1 species
CCAGGUGCUGGCUGGACAACCCCUUCUGGCUGCCUAAGCAGAUGGCAGAAGAAGGAAACAAGGUCAGAGGCAGAGUGUUGAACCCUGCCUCCCAGCCCCCACAUCACCCAACCAACCAGCAGAGAUCCUCCUUCCCAAGAAACAGAUAAAGAAACUGAGGCCCAGGAAGGCUAAGAGUCCUGCCAGGAUUAUUCACCUUUCAAGCAAGGCAAAGUACUCCAGGCCAUGGGGAGUCCCUGAAGACUCGAUGAACUGCAGUGGCCACAUCAGGAGGUUGCAGGUUAACCAGAACUCACCGACACAGCAGGAGAGCAGCUUGGAACCUGCAACCUAGCCAAAACCUAGUGCCUUGGAUUGGGGGAGAAAACAUGCAGCCAUUCCUCUCUCUCUGCUGGCUAGAGGGGAUUCUGGCUUUUCCUGCCAGAGCCACCCCUUUCCCUCCUCCUAAAGUUGAUGGUGGUUCUUUAAGGAAAGGGAGAAGUGCACGGUGUGAUAGGGCAGGAAGAGAAGAAAACGGAGGAGAGGAGGGGACUUUCCCAUAAGCAGGCAGAAGAAAAGGCAGCUGUGGUGUGUGAUGGACAUGGAUGCAGUGGUGUCCAAUGUGGGGUCAGCCCUAGAGGAGAGACAGAGAGAGAGACAGAAAAGUGAGAGAGUCCUGACCCUUAUGAUUAACAUGGGAUCUGCCUGCAAAUGCUGUUUAGGGUCAUCGCCUCUUCCUGUACCACUAUUUUUGAGAGUGAUGCUCCUGAGCCCCACGACCCAGUCAAAUUUGAUGUCCCCUUGAGCCAGAUUCAGUGCUGGGAGUCCAGUGUGAUCUGCCUGGAUCUUGCUGCAUUGAGAACAGGCCAGAUCUUGACCCCAAUACAGGGGCUGGAUAUGAACAGGCAACAGCUGAGUUUCUGAGUCAGAAAGACUUGGUUAAUUGCUAAUUGCUUAGGCAAGUAAUUUAAUUUUGUUGCAUCAGAUUCCUCAGCUACAAAAUGCACAUGACAGUACUUAUUCCUCCAGGUUGUGGGGAAAAUGGAGAUUCUAAGCACGAUGUCCAUUUCACAGAAAGAUACCAAUUUGGUGGCUUAUUUCCUUUCUACCUUCAGAAGUGGCUAUCCCUGCCACCCAAACAGACCCUUGACUCUCAAGUGGAUGUCCCAUUUGCACAGGGGGAGACCUUACAGCCUACGUUGAGUCUAUACUUACCACUUAGUGAGCAUGGUAUCUGCUCAGGGGCCUCUGUGGGCAUCUGUCUCCUCUGCAGCAUCUUUCCUCCCCACUGCUGGGUCUGCACAUGACCCCCUCCUUGGGUUAGGCCUCUGAUCAGUGAUGACCUUGGUAUGGUGGUAAUGGUCAGUCUUGGCAUCAAAUGAGCCAGUUUAUAUCAUCAGCUAUUCAAUAAAAUACUAAUCUAGGUGUCACCGUGAAAGUAUUUUGUGACAUUGUUAUGUACAUAUUGUUACAAAUGUGCAUGAUGCAUUUACUACAGCAUAGAAUUUUGCCUGGGUGCCACCCUGAAGUCUGUCCGACAGAUCAUAGCCAUGUUAGUCCCACAGUCGCAGGGGCCAAUUGAUUAAAUUAUUUUAUCUCCCUUGAGAACUAAAACUAAAAUCCUAAGCCCCCCACCCAACUUAACAGACCCCCUGUUGGCCAACGGAACCUCAAAUAAAUCUUAAAAUUCAGUUCUUGGCCAUGACAGGACAGGAAGUCAGACAUACCUCCCUGUACCUCCCUCCCUCUUAUGGUUUAGACCCAACAACUGAACAGCAUUGAUGUUAAAAUAGAGAUCAUGAGACUGACAGAACAGACUCUUUGUGGCAAUAAGACCUCAAAUUAUAAACAGGACCUAGGGCCAUGCCAGGCGAGGGUUAAGUCUUGUACCCUACUCUUAAAGAAUUAACUAGAUUCUAGCUACCACAUGGGUUUUAU